UUAUGGAGCACAGAGUAAAUGGGAAGUAUUAUAUCUAAUCUCAUGCUAUUUUUGUCACACCCUGGCCUUAGUUAUCUUUGUUUUCAUUAUUAUUUUAGUUAGGUCAGGGUGUGACAUGGGGAAGUUUGUGUGUUUUUUGUAUUGUCUUGGGUGUUGUAUGGUUUAGGGGAUUUAGUAGAGGAGAUGGUUUAGUGUUCAGUGUAGGUGUCUAGGAAAGUCUAUGGUUGCCUGAAUUGGGUCUCAAUUAGAGACAGCUGGUUAUUGUUGUCUCUGAUUGGGAGCCAUAUUUAAGGCAACCAUAGGCUUUAGUGUUUUUAUGGGUAAUUGUCUAUGUCAGUGUGUAGUGGUCAGUGUCAGCACCAUUUUCUGUUUAUAUAGCUUCACGGUCGUCUGUUUGUUGUUUUGUCUCGUUUUUCCUUCUUUUAAUAAAGAGAAGAUGUAUUUUUCACACGCCGCGCCUUGGUCCUCUCUCUCUCCUAAAGACGAUCGUGACAAUUUUACACAUUUUGCCAUGAGAAAGAGAGAAAAUGUUGUUUUAGAGCUCGGAUUCUUGAAAGAUUUUUUCCCACAAAUAUUUGUCUAAAUAUUAACACAGUUUGAAAUAUAUAUUUUGAUAGCCCAAAGUAUCAGCUAUCACACCAUGUAAAGGAACAUCCUAUUUUGUGUAUUAUUCAUAAACUGCAACUAACUGGAUUUAUGUCAACUCCGUCAGACACUAUAAAAGGCCUUUCGUUUUUACAUAUUGUCCAACAAUCAAUCAAUCAAUCAAUCAAUCAAAUGUAUUUAAAAAUCCCUUUUUACAUCAGCAGAUGUCACAAAGUGCUAUACAGAAACCCAGCCUAUAGCCCCAAACAGCAAGCAAUGCAGAUGUAAAAGCACGGUGGCUAGGAAAAACUCCAUAGAAAGGCAUGAAUAUAGAAAGAAACCUAGAGAGGAACCAGGCUCUGAGGGGUGGCCAGUCCUCUUCUGGUUGUGUCGGAUGGAGAUAGUACAUGGCCAUUAAGGCCAUGAGAGAGAGAGAGUCAAAACAGCAGUUUCCGGGAUAAGGUAGCACGUCAGGUGAACAGGUCAGGGUUCCAUAGCCGCAGGCAGAACAGUUGAAACUGGAGUAGCAGCACGACCAGGUGUACUAGGGAGAGCCAGGAGUCAUUAGGCCAGAUAGUCUUGAGGCAUCGUCUUAGGGCUCAGAUCCUCCGGGAGGGGAGGGAGAGAGAAUUAGAGGGAGCAUUCUUAAAUUCACACAGGACACCAGAUAAGACAGGAGAAUUACACUAGAUAAAACAGACUGACACUACCCCCCGGCACAUAGACUAUUGCAGCAUAGAUACUGGAGGCUGAGGCAGGGUGGGUUGGGGGACACUGUGGCCCCGUCCGACGAUACCCCCGGACAGGGCCAACCAGGUAGGAUAUAACCCCACUCACUUUGCCAAAACACAGCAUCCACACCACUAGAGGGAUAUCAACCAACUUACUACCCUGAGACAAGGCUGAGUAAAGCCCACAAAGAUCUCCUCCACCGCACAAUCCCGAGGGGACGCAAAACCGGACAGGAACAUCACAGAAGCAUCACGUCUGUGACUCAACCCACUCAAGUGACGCACCCCUCCUAGGCAUAGAAGAGCACUAGAAAGCCAGUAACUCAGCCCCCGUAAUAGAGGCAGAGGCAGAGAAUCCCAGUGGAGAGAAGGGAGGUGGCCAGGCAGAGACCCAAGGGUGGUUCGUCACUUCAGUGCCUUGCCGUUCACCUUCACACCCUGGGGCCAGACUACACUCAAUCAUAGGACCUACUGAUGAAAUGAGUCUUCAGUAAAGACUUAAAGGUCGAGGCCGAGUCUGUGUCUCUCACAUGGACAGGCAGACCAUUCCAUAAAGAUUGAGUUCUAUAGGAGAAAGCUCUGCCUCCAUCUGUUUGCUUAGAAAUUCUAGGGACAAUAAGGAGGCCUGAGUCUUGUGACCAUAGCGUAAGUGUAGAUAUGUACGGAAGGACCAAAUCGGAGUGAUAGGUAGGAGCAAGCCCAUGUAAUGUUUUGUAGGUUAGCAGUAAAAACUUGAAAUCAGCCCUAGCCUUGACAGGAAGCCAGCAGUUAGCACUGGAGUAAUAUGAUUACAUUUUUGGGUUCUAGUCAAGAUUCUAGCAGCCAUAUUUAGCAGUAAUUGAAAUGUAUUUAGUGCUUUAUCCAGGUUGCCAAAGAGUAGAGCAUUGCAGUAGUCUAAUCUAGAAGUGACAAAAGCAUAUAUUAGCUUUUCUGAAUAAUUUUUGGACAAAACGUUUUUGAUUUGUCAGAGGACAAACAUUUUUGAUUGAUUUGUCAGAGGGCAAACCAGAGACGAACUGAUGUCUUUUCGACUGAUAAGAUCUAAACCAGGCAAGAAAUUGUCUGUGUAGACCAAUUAGGGUUUCCAAUCUCUCUAAAAGAAUGUGGUGAUCGAUGGUGUCAAAAGCAGCGCUAAGGUCUAGGAGCACGAGAACAGAAGCAGAGCCUUGGUCUGAUGCCAAUUAAAGGUAAUUUACCACCUUCAUGAGUGGAGUCUCAGUGCUGUGAUGGGGUCUAAAACCAGACUGAAGUGUUUCGCAUACAUUAUUUGUCUUCAGGAAGGCAGUAAGUGUCUGCGCAACAGCUUUUUCAAAAAUGUUUGAGAGGAAUGGGAGAUUCGAUAUAGGCCAAUCCUUUUUUUUCUUCUUUUUUAAAAAACAUUUUCCGGGUCAAGGUUUGGCAUUUUCAAGAGAGGCUUUAUUACUGCCACUUUUAGUGAGUUUAUUAUGUUCAACAUCGGAGGGCCAAGCACAGGAAGUAGCUCCUUCAGUAGUUUAGUUGGAAUAGGGUCCAGUAUGCAGCUUGAAGGUUUAGAGGCCAUGAUUAUUUCCAUGAAUGUGUCAAGAGAUACAGGAUAAAAAAUGUUGAGUGUUUCCAUUGAUUCUAGGUCCUGACAGUUCUGUGCAGACUCAGGACAACUGAGUUUGGGAGAAAUACGCAGAUUCAAAGAGGAGUCCGUAAUGCUUUCUACUGAUCAUGAUCUUUUCAUCGAAGAAGUUCAUGAAUUAAUCACUGCUGAAGUGAAAGCCAUCCUCUCUUGGGGAAUCCUGCUUUUUAGUUAGCUUUGCGACAGUAUCAAAAAUACAUUUUGGAUUGUUCUUAUUCUCCUCAGUUAGGUUGGAAAAAUCAAGCAGCAGUGAGGGAUCUUCGAUAUUGCACGGUACUGUCUUUCCAAGCUUGUCAGAAGACUUCCCAUUUGGUAGAGCACCAUUUCUGUUCAAAUUUUUUGGAAGCUUGCUUCAGGGCUCAAGUAUUUUCUGUAUACCAACUAGCAAAUUUCUUGUGAUAAUUGUUUUUUGUUUUUAGGGGUGCAACUGCAUCUAGGGUAUUAUGCAGGGUUAAAUUUAGAUCAUCAGUUAGGUGGUUAACUGAUUUUUGUACUCCGACGUCCUUUGGUAGGUGGACGGAGUCUGGAAGGGCAUCUAGGAAUCUUUGAGUUUUACGAGAAUUUAUGGUCACUAGUGUAACCAGGAGGAGAGGCCUCAUUAAACACAGUAAAUUAAUCAGGCUUGACCCAUGUUUCAGUCAGGCCAAUCACAUAGAGAUUAUGAUCAGUGAUUAGUUCAUUGACUAUGACUGGCUUGGAAGUGAGGGAUCUAACAUUAAGUAGCCCUAUUUUGAGAUGUGACAUAUCACAAUCUCUUUCAAUAAUUAGAGGAAUGGAGGAGGUCUUUAGUCCAGUUAUAUUGCUAAAGCGUACACAGACACAGUCUCAAUGGGGAUAGCUGUGCUGACUACUCUGACUGAACAGUUGGUUCUAUUAAUGAAAAUCAUAUGGGAUGGAAGCUAUUGAAAUUUUAAGGGAGUAUUUAAACUCAUAGAAAAAAAAACAAAGUCAACAAAUAAACAAAUCAUUAACGUAGAUUUUACAGACGAUGUCCCUGAACCAAAUAUUUUUUACAUAGUACGAAAUGAAAUCCAUUUAAAAUAGCCAAAGUAAAAAAAUACAAAUCUUUUUGCUGUAGAUUGUACAGACAAGCUCCCUGAGCCAAUAACAGCUGGUUGUAUUCAUGAAAGUCAUAUAGGGUGUAAUCUACUCAAGUUUUAAGGAAGUAUUUUUAAUUUAAAGGCCCCCACCAGAGGGCAAUGCCGCCCCUAUUUCAACGUAAUUCCUGUUCUACAGUGGAAAUUCUCGAUCGACCUGUUGGAGACCCCUGUCAUUGACACCUGUGAUUUAGUUGCACAAAUGAAAGUGGAGUGGUCUCCACCGGCCGGGGGCACCGGGCCAUGCAAAGCGAACUCGCCCUGUCUUUUCCCAAAAAACACAGUGCCACCAUGUGUUAAUAGGCAUGAAUUGUUGCCAUAAUUGUAAUCCUACCCCAUUCUUAAUUUACUCAUUGUGAUGUACUCAGGAUCCAAACUCAGUUUUAGACGAGACUGAAUAUCUGACCAAAAUUAUCCUAUUUACACUUUGUAGUCAAUUUUGACUCUAGAAUAAAUGUCCCUGACUCAUAUCGAUUCCACAGGCCGUUUUCACAAGGAUUAGUUGCUUUUAUAGGGGGAGUCGUUAACCCUUUGAUCGGAGGAGAGUAACGUUUUAGCUACAUUUCGCCACCAAAAAGAAAAUACGACCCCGAAUUGCAGAAACAAAGGUUUUAACUUGUUCGCUAUCGUCAGCUGAUUCAGAAUGUAAUUUCUAUCAUCCUGCCACAUUCCGUUGAAAAGGGUAUUGUCGUGCAAAGUGUAAUCUUUAAUAUAAAGCUAACUAUACCCCAGUCACACGUUCAGGAAUUUCACAGCCGCAAUGCAUUAGAAGAGGCGCGCUGUGAGUUUUGAUAGUUCUCUUCAAAUAAACAACUUGGAAGAUGGCAAAUAGCGAAGCGUCUGCGGUGGUGUUCAAAUGGAAGUCAUUUUUGUUCUCAUUAAAAUGAUCUCGACUACUUAUAUAUUGCAUUUUGAUUGCUGUUACAGUGCUAUUUGGGUUGUUGAUUGGAUUAGUUCCGAACAAAUAUGCAAACGUUAUUUCUGUACAUGUUUGACAUUUUACUGCAUUGCUACAAACACAAGCAUUUCGCUACACCCGCUAUAACAUCUGCUGACCUAUGUUCGCGAGCAAUACAUUAUUUGAUUUGACUAUUUCAUCGUACAUCUUUGAACACAGAUUUGACUAGCCGAUUAAAUUCAACUCCACGAUUUAUGAUGGAAUUGAGCUAGCUAGCCACUUGUUGUAAAUACAUGGACUUGUGUUCAAACUGUUUCAGGGUCUGAUGACAAUACUAGGCAUUUAAUUCAGUGGCGAAUAACACCUGUUCACCGGCAGGAGAAAUGCCGCAACAAAAGGUUUUGAGUAAGUCAUGUGGCAAUGUAUAUCUUGCCACUGCACUGGGUGAUGCACUCUGUGACUAAAACGCAGUAGCCCAAAUUCCUCAUUUCCACAGCGCUGCUGGACCUAACACUUCUCUUUCCUUCUAGUUCUCCUGAUUUGUCACCUUGGUUUAUUCGUGUUGAGCUGAUUGUAAUGUUCAUGUUAUGCAAUAUUAGUUUCUACCUGAACAGUUACAGCCUGAAUGGGUCUAGUUUCAUUGCACAUAACCUGUUAUGGUGAAAGUAAUGGAUCUAUGUGAAGGAGUGUGAAUUGGCUGGGCAGCUGCAUCGGUGAAAAAGAAGUGGGAGAAGGAGGUGACUGCCAAGGAGGCACGCCUUAUGGCCAUUUUAGAGUCCAUGAUUAAGAAGUAGUUAUACCUAUUGUAUUUAUAGAUAUUCCUUUAUACAUUUUCUACUGUUUUUGGUGAAGUCUUGAAGUGUAUUUCUGUUUUGUCAUUGAAAGUGUUUCUUCUUUAUAGUAAAUAUUUUUAUUUGAUA